rnacentral:rRNA from 1 species
CGAUGCCUAAGACAUGCAAGUCGAACGAGAUGGCCAGUGAAGGUUGAGUGCUUGCACGAGACUGAAUCUGGAUUCCCAUCUAGUGGCAGACGGGUGAGUAACACGUGGGUGACCUACCUUUUCGUUGGGGAUAACAGUUGGAAACGAUUGCUAAUACCGAAUAAAAUGUAAGAGUCAAUUUUACAUUGAAAGGAGCCUUUAAAGCUUCGCGAUUAGAUGGGGCCUGCGGCGUAUUAACUAGUUGGUGAGGUAAUGGCUUACCAAGGUGACGAUGCGUAGCCGAACUGAGAGGUUGAUCGGCCACAUUGGGACUGAGACACGGCCCAAACUCCUACGGGAGACAGCAGUUAGGAAUAUUCGUCAAUGGAGGUAAACUCUGAACGAGCAAUGCCGCGUGAGUGAUGAAGGUCUUAUAGAUUGUAAAACUCUGUUGUAUGGAAAAAACGACUAGGUUAGGAAAUGAACUUGGUGUGAUGGUACCAUACCAGAAAGCCCCGGCUAACUACGUG